GACGGGGGGAUGCAAGUGUUAUCCGGAAUCACUGGGCGUAAAGCGUCUGCAGGUGGUUUCCUAAGUCCACUGUUAAACCUUGAGGCUCAACCUCAAAUCUGCAUUGGAAACUAGGAGACUUGAGUAUAGUAGGGGUAGAGGGAAUUUCCAGUGGAGCGGUGAAAUGCGUAGAUAUUGGAAAGAACACCGAUGGCGAAGGCACUCUACUGGGCUAUUACUGACACUCAGAGACGAAAGCUAGGGGAGCAAAUGGG
rnacentral:rRNA from 1 species